rnacentral:rRNA from 1 species
CUGCUGCCUCCCGUAGGAGUCUGGUCCGUGUCUCAGUACCAGUGUGGGGGACCUUCCUCUCAGAACCCCUACGCAUCGUCGGUUAGGCGGGCCGUUACCCCGCCUACUGCCUAAUGCGCCGCAUGCCCAUCCCUGUCCGGCCGAAGCCUUUCCUGCCUCCGGGAUGCCCCGGUGGCAUGUACGCGGGUUUAGCCCGCCUUUCGGCGGGUUGUCCCCCUGACAGGGGCAGGUUGCAUACGUGUUACUCACCCGUGCGCCGGUCGCCGGCGGAGAAA